rnacentral:rRNA from 1 species
UACGUAGGGUGCAGGCGUUAAUCGGAAUUACUGGGCGUAAAGCGUGCGCAGGCGGUUUGCUAAGACAGGUGUGAAAUCCCCGGGCUUAACCUGGGAACUGCGCUUGUAACUAGCAGGCUAGAGUGUGGCAGAGGGGGGGUGGAAUUCCAGGUGUAGCAGUGAAAUGGCGUAGAAUAUCUGGAGGAACACCGGUGGCGGAAGGCAGGCGA